rnacentral:tRNA from 1 species
GACCGCUUGGCUCAGUUGGUAGAGCGCUUCAUUCACAUUGAAGAGGUCGGUGGUCCGAAUCCACCAGCGGUCACAA